UGUCAAAAAUUUCAUCCAUUUGUGCUAUUAAAAAUUAGCAUGGCUAACGAAACAACCAGAUAAAGACAGUGCCACGUGUACUUCCACGUUGAUAAAUUGGGACCAAUUUUUAACAGUAGAAAUUGAUGAAAAUUUUAAUA
rfam:Gossypium arboreum cultivar AKA8401 contig_556_1, whole genome shotgun sequence.